UAGAGACGGGGUUUCACCGUGUUAGCCAGGAUGGUGUCGAUCUCUUGACCUCGUGAUCUGCCAGUUUCAGCCUCCCAAAGUGCUGGAUUACAGGCGUGAACCACCGCACCAGGCCAAUCAUCUGCUUCUUAAACCAAACUGAGACUUUGCUGGGGCCGGGGCCGUGCCUCAUUCGUGUGUGUAGUGCCAGGACGUUGCACAGUACUUGGCAGAUGAAUUUCACAGCCACCCACUGAAGCCACUGGAGAUCUGAGGAAUCCCAAAGACAAGAAUGGGAAUCUCUCCCUUACCCUCAGAGAACCUUCAGAAGGCCAAGGGUUUCCCUUGGCCCCUAGGUGGAGGUAACCCAAACAGCAUGUGUCAGCUGAGCACUGGGCCUGACCUGCCCUGGACGGAAGUUCCUGCCUUGGAUUGGCCACUGGACCUGCCCUGGAGGGAAGUGCCUGACCUGGAUUGGCUGCUGUGGGCUAGCUGGGCUGGGGCUUCCACAGAAGAGCUGCCUUCUUGAAGGGUUAAAGCAUCAGCUCCAGGAAAUCAGGGUCAACCCGUGAUCUCCCAUUAGGGUUCAGGUGAUGGUCUAACCUGCUGUGCCUCCUCCAUCAUGGGCUUGAUGAACACUGACUGGAUUUGAAUGCCCAAAAGUCUGGGACUGGUAUGAACCUCUUCUUCCCCCAGGGACCUCAUGGGGAGGCCCUAUCAGUGUCCAGCAGAUCAAGGCAGAGUGGCUGGUGGUAGCCUUCAGCUACGCUUGGAGGCCUCCACUCUCGACUGGUGUGGCACUUCUGUUCUGGUUGCUGAGCUGGUCGGCCAUCCUAUGGACUCGAGAAUAGAUUGACUCGGUCUUCAUUGCCUCUUGGGGAGAGGGGUGGUCAGGAUUUUCUGGAGUUAGAGUUUUAAAGAUGCCCCAGGGAGGAUGCCUGGAGAAACGUUUGUCAGAGGGCGUGCAAACCAGAGCAACUCCAUCUUGAAUAGGAGCUGGGUAAAAUGAGGCUGAGACCGACUGGGCUGGAUUCCCAGACAGUUAAGGCAUUUUAAGUCACAGGAUGAGAUAGAAGAUCAGCACAAGAUACAGGUCAUAAAGACCUUGCCUAUAAAACAGACUGCAGUAAGGAAGCCAGCCCAAACCCACCACAACCAAGAUGGCGAUGAGUGUGACCUCUGGUCGUCCUCACUGCUACACUCCCACCAGUGCCAUGACAGUUUACAAAUGCCAUGGCAAUGUCAGGUUACCGUAUAUGGUCUAAAAAGGGGAGGCAUGAAUAAUCCACCCCUUGUUUAGCAUAUCAUCAAGAAAUAACCAUAAAAAUGGGCAACCCGCAGCCCUCAGGGCUACUCUGUCUAUGGAGUAGCCAUUCUUUUAUUCUUCUGCUUUUUUUUUUUUUGAGACGGAGUUUUGCUCUUGUUUCCCAGGCUGGAGUGCAGUGGCACAAUUUCGGCUCACUGCAACCUCCACCUCCUGAGUUCAAGCGAUUCUCCUGCCUCAGCCUCCAGAGUAGCUGGGAUUACAGGCAUGUGUCACCACGCCCGGCUAAUUUUUGUAUUUUUAGUAGAGAUGGGGUUUCUCCAUGUUGGUCAGGCUGGUCUCGAACUCCCAACCCAGGUGAUCCACCCACCUCGGCCUCCCAAAGUGUUGGGAUUACAGGCAUGAGCCACCGCACCUGGCCCUAUUCUUCUACUUUCUUAAUAAACCUGCUUUCACUUUACUCUAUGGACUUGCCCUGAAUUCUUUCUUGUGCAAGAUCCAAGAACUCUCUCUUGGGGUCUGGAUCAGGACCCCUUUCCUGUAACACAAUGACCAUUUUAAGGAGAGGGCGUACAGAUUGCAAGCAUGGGAAGAAAAAUAAGAACUUAGCCCUAACCUAGACUCUGAAGGAGGCUCCUUGUGACAGUCUUGGAGCCUGAUUUUGCAGAGCCUGGUUCUCACUAGGGCACUAGCACCUGGGGCAUGAGGACGCGCCUGAAGUACUGUCCUUGGAUUUUCCUCAUUGCAUCAACAAACUGAGAUACCAGAAGCUCUGAGAACAUGUUACUUCAGAGAUUGAAAUUAUAGACUCGUAGCAGUCAAAUCGGCUAUUUGCAGUAAUAACUAUUCUAGCGUGGUUGGAAAAGCCUAGUAAAUGUUGCCCUUGUUUGAAAUCUUCCCCUGAUCCCCACCCUGCCACCUCCCCAGUGCUGAACAGGUUGGGAGGCAGAGUGACUAUUUUCUGUUUGUUUGUGUUUCAGAGUCAAGCUGUCUGGAACUACUGUCUGGAAGAGCCUCUUCCCCAUCCCAGCAACUGUACCCAUCAAUCAGGAACUGUUGCUGAACCCAGGGCUGCCUGGAUAAACAUUUAUAAGACCCAGAGGGAUCAUUAGUAGAGGGUAGAGGAUGUCUUUGCUUGAACCCAAGUCCAAAACUGAACUCACCCUUUGCCCUUUAACUCAUAGAAAUUCAAAUGAGGCAAAGGUGAGGAGAGAGAACAACUUAAAUCAGUGGUUCUCAACCUUGUCUGCACCUUAGAAUCUCUAAGGAGCUUUUAAGAAUUCAGAUGCGUACACUGUUCUCUAGAAGGAUGGAAUCAGAAUCUCUGGGGGUGGAACCCAGGCAUCUGUAUUUUUCAAAGCUCCCCAGGUGAUUCCAAUGUGCAGCCAAGGUUGAGAAUCAUAGACUCAAAUAGUGCUUGGAGUUCCUGCUGGUCAUUCUACCCAUGGCCGAAAACCCUGGGGUGAAGAAGUGGAAGACCUGAUUCUUCUAUUUCUGUGGAGUUCCUUGUGUUUUUCCUGUAAUGAGCAUCUCUCCAUGCUGAGUGCGAUUUUUGGGGUUUAAGAUCUGUAUUUCAGCUGAGAGCAGUGGCAUGCACCUAUAACCCCAGCUGCUUAGGAGGCUGAGGCAGGAGGAUCGCUUGAGCCCAGGAAUUCAAGGCUGCAGUGAGCUAUAAUUAUGCCACUGUAUUCCAUCCUGGGUGACAGAGCAAGACCCUGACAUAAAAAAAAAAUCUGCAUUUCACAUAUAACAAGGCCUUGGAACUUCAUCUGAUUCAACCAAAGCCAUGAUGAUCUCUGCUGUACAUUAUGGGUAAUUUAAGGGAUUUUCAAGUGCAAUGUUGGCCAUAUGAAAUUUUGCUUUCAUCCAAACUUUCAAAGCUAAGCCCUGCAUGACAUCCCUGCCUUCCUUUUUUCAGUGGACAGAGCCAUUCCCCGUGGCCCUGCUGGCAAUCCAGGCAAUGGUUGUCACCCUCUUACAUUCCCUCAGCCCCUACAUUGGUCCUCAGAUCUUCCCAAUCUUCCUCUAUACUCUCUGCACCUGCUUCAGGUGAGUCCUUCAUCUCGAAUCUAUUACCAUAACCUCCUAACUGGCGCCCCUGUCCCCAGCCUCAUUCCCCUGCAUUCCAUCAUCUGCCUGCCUUCUGGUGAACAAGGCAGAUACGAAUUGCCAUGUAGUCCUCUGCUUACAAUUCUUCAGAAGCUUGUGAUUGCUUUCCUAAGGAAGUUGAAACUUCUUUUUUUUUUUUUUGAGACGGAGUUUCGCUCUUGUUGUCCAGGCUGGAGUGCAAUGGCGUGAUCUUGGCUCCCUACAACCUCUGCCUCCUGGGUUCAAGAGAUUCUCCUGCCUCAGGCUCCCGAGUAGCUGGGAUUAUAGGCACCCGCCACCACGCCCAGCUACUUUUUGUAUUUUUAGUAGAGAUGGAGGUUUCACCAUGUUGGCCAGGCUGGUCUCGAACUCCUGGCCUCAGGUGAUCCGCCCGCCUCGGCCUCCCAAAGUGCUGGGAUUACAGGCGUGAGCCGCUGCGCCCAGCCAGGAAGUUGAAACUUCUUGACAUGACCUCCAGUACUCUGGUGGUCAAACACCUUUGCAGCCUCAUCUCCCUUCACAUCCGCUUAAGGACCUACAUUCCUACCACAUAGAAGGUGCUUUCCCCCAAGCCUUUGCUUAUGUGCUCUCCUCCACUUGGUAUGCCUUUCCUUUUCCUGGUGGGCUACUUCUUUUUUUAAAAAAAUUUAUUUAUUUAUUUUUAGAGCCAGGGUCUUGCUCUGUCACCCAGGCUGGAAUGCAGUGGUGUGAUCAUGGCUCACUGCAGCUUCAAACUCCUGGGCUCAAGUGAUCCUUCUGCCUUAGCCCCUGAAUAGCUGGGACUCCAAGUGCAUACCACCAUGCUCAGCUGAUUUUUUUUUUUUUUUUUAAGACAGGGUCUCUCUCUGUCACCUAGGCUGAAGUGCAGUAGCAUGAUCAUGGCUCACUGCAGCCUUGACCUCCCCGGUUCAGGUGAUCCUCCCACUCGGCCUUCCAAGUAGCUGGGACCACAGGUAUGUGCCACCAUACCAGGCUAUUUUUUGUUAUUUUUUUGUAGAGACAGAGUUUCACCAUGUUGCCCACACUGGUCUUGAAGUUCUGGCCUCAAGUGAUCCUCCUGCUUUGGCCUCCCAAGGUGCUGGAAUCACAGGUGUAAGCCACCGUGCCUAGUCACUGGUUAGGCUACUUCUAACUUGUCUUUUUCUUUAUAGCCAGUCUAUGUGUCCCAUCCUCCCCUUUCUCCAGGCUGCAUCAGGUGCCUGCUGACCGUGCCCCUCCUCUGUGUGUGGCCAGAACAUCCAAGGCCCUCAACCCGAAUGAUGAGUACUGAUUCUCCCAACUACGUUGUGAACUCUACAUUGAGGGCAGGAGCUGGGUCUUACCUUUCACUGCACCCUUGGUGCUUGCACAAUUCCUAGACUAAAGGAAGCCUUUGUAUCCAAUGCCUGAACUUGCUCCAAUAUUCCCCAACCUUUUACCCCCUUUUGCUGAUUGGAGACCUGGUUUUGACCUGCUUGGCUUGUGCAAAGCUCUGAGAGAGGAAAAGUUUGGCUUGGGCCCCCUCUCGACGGAAUCUUUCCAUUCCAAAGUUGUUUCUCCUCUCUUUGAGGCUCCUUUUAACCGUUCCCAAUUCCCUCAUUCCCAGGAACUCUUAAAUUCUUUCUCCCCUUAUCAAAAUACUCUUUCAGAAUAAGUACAUUCACUCUGGAAUACAACUGCUGUUUCCUUUCCCAGGCUUAUAUGUAUUUUAGCAGAAAAAAUUCAAAGGAAUUAAUUUCUAAUUGUGGAAAUUGCAGGCCAUAGGAGGAGAAGGCAGAGAAAAAAAUUUGAGGGUGAAUCAGCCUUCUGCAGAGACUUUCUUCAAAGACUUUCAUGCAUCCUCUUUGAUUAGAGGAUUGGAAAAGGGCGAAGCUUACCCAUCUUCUGCAGGCAGCUGGAAGAACAAAGAGAAGAGAGAUUUUUCAAGCAUGGUUUCUCUCUUGGCUCAUCCCACACACAUCCCUGUGGGGACUCUACAUAGGGAAGGUGUGUCCCAGGGCUUGCCAAAGAUGGAGGUCAUGACAAUGAGAUCUGCCCACGGAAUUAUCACAGCAAAAGGCAAGGAAUCAGAAAUAAGAAAGCCAAGAGUAUGGAAUCAAAACAUGAGACUGAGGAGGUAGCAGUCAGGUCCCCGCCGUAGGUGUGGGAGGGAGCAGAAGGGAGACAGUAGUCACCAGGGAGCAGAGAGAAGACAGGUGAGUCCUGGGAACAUAGACCACCAACCCGGGCAGCCUAGAGUGUGCCUUUUAGGUGAGCUGUGGCAAGAUGCCCCUGGCUGGGUGAGACCGUGUUUGGGGCAGAAUUCAGGGCUCCCAUUCUGCAGAUGAGCAGAACAGACAUCUGUUUCAUACCAUUUCUGGCUGAGAUGUGACCCAGGCUCCCUAGGGGCUGUGAUUCUUGGGACAUGGCGACCACCAACAGUGGCUAGCCUAGUACCUUUCACAGCAGUGGGCUGAGUGCUUCCUGUGAUAUUAGCCACUGUGCAGCACUGGGCAGGGUUCAUGUUAUCACAGGUGCAGAAGUGCAAAAAGUAUAUGGGAUUCACCUCCAGACUUCCAGCCAGUGUCCAGUGGCCUUUGAGUCAGGUCGUCAAGGAACUUAUUCCUGCCACAUGGCCCCUUCAUCAGAAGUGUGUGCAGCCACUGGGCUGUGUCCAGUUUUGGUCACUCAUGAAGGAGCUCUCAGUCCUGCUUGGUACCUACUCUCUCCUUCAACCACAGCAGUUGCAGUUUCCUCCACCCCAUUCAGACGUAGGAGACUUAACGUGGCAAAUAGGCAGGGCAGCUUCAAAGGGUUCCACAGAGAUCCCUCACUUUCCUUUCCCCUAUAUUCUCUCUCUCUCUGUCUCGCUCUCUUUUUUUUUUUUUUUUUUCUUAGAGAGAGGGUCUCACUCUGUCUCCCAAGCUGGAGUGCAGUGGCACAAUCAUGGCUCACUGCAAUCUCCAACUCCUGGGCUCAUGUGAUCCUCCCACCUCAGCCUCCCAAGUAGCUGGGAUUACAGGUGCGUGCCACCAUGCCCGACUAAAUUUUUCUAUCUGUUUUUUUUUGUUGUUGUUGUUUUUUUUUUUUUUUUUUGUAGAGACAGGGUCUUGCUAUGUUGCCCAGGCUGGUCUUGAACUCCUGGGCUUAAGUGAUCCUUACAACUUGGCUUCCCAAAGUGCUGGGAUUACAGGUGUGAGCCACCAAGCCCAGCCUUCUCUAUAUUCUCUUACAUUUGCUUAAACCCCCUAAUUCCUUAUUAGGAUUUCAUCCCUUUGUCUCAAGACGCUGUCUCUUGUGAGGAUGCAAAUAUCCUAACAUCCUCCUCAGUCUUUUUGCUGGUGUAUGCUUGCCAGAUGCUAAUUGGGGCAGGUUUUCACCAGAAAGGGGCAGAGGGAGGGUGGAGUCGGCUGGGCAGCAGGUGGGAACAGGUGGCUGAAAGGGUAUGUGGGGAGCAUGAAGGCCGAAUACAUGUACUUUCCCAUCAUCCUCUAGCAGUGAUCCUAGUUUCUGAAACCCAGCCAGGAGAUCUGGGCUGAUGGAAGAUUUUUGUACCGAUUCCAAAUGUGAGGGGCCAUUUUUGAAAUUGUAGCUUGGAUGCUGAAAUGUUAUAAUUUCCAGGCCAUUUGGAUGAUUUAUGGGGUCAAUAUAUCAUUUGAAAUGGAAACUAUUCCAGAACAUCCAGGCUGCUUGGUGGCCAGUCCUGUGGUAGUGAAUGACAGAGGGUCCCUCUGAUAGUGGCCGUCUGCUGACCUGUCUAAUCCUUUAUUCUGUAAGCAUUUAGUGGAUGGGGGGCAUGUGGCCACCAGCAGUCCUGUCCUGGUCAGUGUGACCCUCCUCCCAGCUCAGACCAUGGCUCAGCCCUAACAGGAACCAUUGCUCCCCUAAGAGUUCAGCAAAAUGGGUGAGAAUCCAGGAGCUUCUCUGCUGUCCUUGUCUUGUGGUCUCAUUAUGAGUUUUUCUUUUGUGGGAAGGAAAAGAAGAAAAGAGGGAGCGAAUAAAGUACUAGGUGGGGCAAGAAACCAGCAAAACACAAACAGAGAAGGGACACACUAACCAGAACCCCUUUUGAACUUCUUGGAAGAGACCUCCAAUGUCUGGUUUUCUGCAAACAGCCUGGGACCAGCCUGAAGUCUAUUUUGCAUUUCUUAGGGGAAAGGCAGGGGUUCUCCAGUUUUCUAGUAGAGAGGGAUAGAAUAUAAGACAUUAUGAAACAUUAUGAAAUGUCCCACGUUUCUAUCUAAGUGUCUCCUACACUUGGAGGCCUGAGGAAGGUCUGUAUACCCCCUUACACCCUUGCUGACAGAUUCCAUCUCUCCAUAAAGAGAGUAGUACAAAGCCACUCUGUGCACACACGCACAAGCCAGUCUUGCCUCCUGAGCUCGUCUCGCACUUGCUGGCAGGAUCAGGGUCUAUCCCUCUUCAUUCUCCCCUGUGGUGCCUAACAGGCUGUGCAUGUAGCAGAUGCUCAGUAAACUUGGCCAUGGCCAUAUUAGCUUUGUGGCAGCUGCAGAGGCUUUGAUUUUGAAGGUAGGAGGGACCUCCCAUCACGUGAUCUAUGCUUUCUUCAGAGCAGGGAAGCUGUGUGAUUGUAAUCAGGCGGGAGCCGUGCUAUCGAAUCCACCUGUGUUUCCGUGUGACCUUGGUAGAGGUACAUUGUUUUUUUGCCAUGUCCCUUCCUGACCCCGCAGCCUCUGCCGCACACCCGGGCUCUCCCAUCUGUAUACAAAACGCUCCAGAUUCUGGGAUGAAACACAGUCCUGUCCAGGUGCAAAUGAUUGCUCCUUUAUUACUGCAGACAUCCUCCCUUUUUCCUUUUAAGUAGUCUUUGAAAUUAAACUAAAAAGGAAAUAUUUGCACAGAGAUUUCCCCAAGGCCAUUUUCAAUACACCUGGUAAUCAGCACCGACUUUCAAAAACAUGGUUAUUAUUGCCUUAAAAUUAUUGCGUCAUUUGACCAAAACCCUCUUGUGAAUGUUUCUGAUGAAAAUUUUUUAUUGAAAAUGUUUUUUAAUGAGGCAAUUUUCCUCCCUUCUCAUCGGAGGGGCAGAGCUACCUCACUGUGGCUGUUUAUUUAAAUGGUGGAAGACUUCCUUGACUACAUCACACACUUUUCUUCUGAGGGCCUUCAGAUGGUCUCUGUUUGCAUCUAGGGUGAAAUUGAGGCACUGAGGAUGGGGUGGAAGUUGCUGUUAAGGUCUUCACCUCCAAUCCUACAGUGACCAGUCCUGGAAUAAGGCAAGGACCUAGGUGUCCUGAAUCACCCUUUGCUUUUUAGGUAAGUACCUUUGGAAAAAUUAUGAUAGAGGAGAGAUCUAUCUUUACCAACCUCAGCCUGCGUCAUCCUUAGAAAGGGUGUUUCAUAACUAUGGUAGACCUUGUUAACUUUUGACUGUGUAGUAUUUUUCAUUUCAUUUUUUUUUUCAAGUAGCAUUGCAAUAUCCUUUUGGGGAAUUUCCUGUUUUCUACUGGAUACUGGGUCAGUCGUGAUCAUUAAUCAGAUGCCUGCUGUUCUGUAGGCAAAAAGCAGGCACUUGAGUUUAGUGAGGCUGUUGGGCUGCCUGUACUUAUUGUUCAUAUUUUCACAGAACUCUCAUUAAACUGGAUUAUUUGAUGUCAGCUUAGCAUUAUCAAAUUUAGCAAAUAAAAAUGCAGCACCCCAGUUAAAUUUGAAUUUCAAAUGAACAACUAAUAAUUUUUAAUUUUUACUUUUAUUUUUAAUUUUUAGAGACAAGGUCUUGCUCUGUUGCCCAGGCUGGAGUGCAGUGGCAUGAUCGUAACUCACUGCAGCCUCGAUCUCCUGGGCUCAAGCAAUCCUCCUGCCUCAGCCUCCUGAGUAGCUGUGCAAAUGCAAGACACCACACCCAGCUAAUUUUUUCAUUUUUUGGAGAGAUGGGGUCUUGCUAUGUUGCCCAGGCUGGUCUCAAACUCCUGGGCUCAAGCAAUCCUCCUGCCUUGGCCUCCAAAAGUGCUAGGAUUACCAUUGCAAGCCACUGUGCCUGGCCCAACUAAUAAUUUUUAAGUGUAAGUAUAUCCCCCAAAUUGCACAGGCUAUGCUUAUGCUACAAAUGUAUUUAUUGUUUAUCUGAAAUUCAAAUUUAACUGGGCAUCAUGCAUCUCAUCUGCCUACCCUAUCUUUAUGCUGAGAUGCACUCACUCUUGGGAAAUGUUUAGUUGUUGUUGCAGCAGCGAAACGAAGCCCAAGCAAGCCAAUGUUGCUACCACAGUUGUCUUACAUGCAGACGUUGGGUGGGAACGGUGUCUAUGCGGUCCUAUGGCCCUUCUGAAAGACUAAAGGGGCAAACUCAAAACAAAACCAUGUCCCUUUUAGUAAAGGAGAAGCAGGCCAAGGACUCUGUGGAUUUGGUCAAGUUCCACAACCAGACGUGGAAAUGAUAUAGAGGUUUAGAGCUGUGCUCCAGGAUAUGAGGAAGGGAUUUUUAGGAGCAAAAGACCCAUUAGAUGCCUAUUAAAAUAUUGGUCAAUGAACCAGAAUAUUAUGAAUUUUCAGUUUUAGGGCAGCAGUGAGUGAAGCUGGGAGAAUUCAGCUGGAGCUUAGGAAGCGAGAAGGCUGAGAGAGGCCUCUGGUUGGUAGACGGUGCUGGGCAGGCCAGUCUGGGCUCUGGGAGAAACCAGAGAUGAAGCCCAACUGACGCUGGAGCCUCAGCCAGGGUCCCCAGAGCUAGGCCCCUCCAGCGAGUCCUGUCACAGAUGGGAGGGGUGGCCACUGGGCCAGAUAGGGGGUGCUCAGCUUUGGAUUGUGGGUGUCCUCUGCAGAUGGGUCUCCAGCUACCCAAAAGGCAGGGAAGACUUUCCUCCCACAACCCUCAGAUGACAGACUGCCAUGCCAUCACAUGGCGGGACACACUGAAUUCACAGGAGUCUUUUCAUUUUUUAAUUUAUAAUUAAAAAAUAGAGAUGAGGUCUCACUAUGUUGCCCAGGCUGGUCUUGAACUCCUGGCCCAAGCAACCCUCCUGCCUUAGCCUCCCGAAGUGCUGGGAUUACAGGCGUGAGCCACCAUGCCUGACCAGGAGUUUCAAUCUGAAGGGGUCGGUGCCCCAACCCCAUUUGUUGUUCAAGGGUCAACUGUACAUUCCCAGUAUAUUUAUUUGGGGGGUUAAAUGUGUGAUUGCUUAAUGUAAACAUUUAUUAUAAACCCUUCUUUUGGAGAUAUGCUCAAAACCUGGAAGUGGCCUUGACCUACCAUGACUUGAGGGGCCUACCAUUUAGGGGAGAGCCCCCGGGGACUUAUCCCAGCAAUCCCACCUCCACUAAGUUGCUGAAAAACAGUUGAGAACCUAAGUCAGGUAUAUGUUUGUGGCCAGCUAAGACCUGGUAUGGUCUAGGCCCUCCCCAGUGACUCCCCCAAAUUUCUCUGCUUGCCGAUGCCUGAAAUGAAAUUCUUCGACAAGGGAACACUUCUCUUUCAAGGUGGGGAUGGUAAGGAAAGGGUGGAGGACUUCAGGCACCUGAAAAUUGGAUCCCAACUAGGGGGUACAUAUUUCAGCAGAAAAAGGAGGCUGGAUCCAGAACACAGAUUUCAGAGUCUGUGUAAGUUACCCCAGGCUGUGCGGUGCCGUGGGGAAUGCAUAGACCUGAGGGCUCCACUCCCGGGCUUGGUCCUGGCUCUCUCAUGUUCUAGCUGUGUGACUUCAGUCUAGUUACCUGACCUCUCUGUGCCCCAGUUUUCUUAGUGAAAAUGAGGAUAAUAACAAAAUCUUCUUUAUAGGUUUGUUAUGAGGAACUAAAUAAUACAUACAUAAAUGUAUUUAAUAUAUAUGUUAAGUAUUUAUGACACAGCCUGGCACAGAAUAAGAGUUAUGUUAGAGCCAGCUGUUAAUAUUUGACCCCAACUGUUUCUUUGUAUUUGACCCCGACUGUUUCUUUGAAGCUGUCUGCUUUGGUACUUCAGUCUGCAACUCUAAGGCCACCAGCUGAGUCUCAUGUGAUUUAGGAAGAUUUGGGAGAGUUAGUUUUAUUCUUCUUCUUCUUUUUUUUUUUUUAACAUGCUGACUCUCAAUGAGGGAAUACCAUUCCCAGAAGAUUUUUAAUUAAUUAUCUCUGUAAAACUAUGGCAAAAUGCCUUCUGGGGCACUUGCAUAUUGCUAGAUCAAGAAACCCUGGGUUUCAGAAUCAAAUGCUGGGAAACUUUAGGCAUCGUUUCAUUGGUAACAUCCCAAGUGCCCUUUGGGUACUGGAGUGAUGGCUGGGGCUGUGAUAGCUUAGGAGACAGAGUUAGGAUUCUGCGGGGCUGGGUUACACUAAAGGUUCUCGCAGAGGGGAGAGCUGCGCCUAGUUCUAGAGCAGUGGCUCCCAAAGCCUGGUCCGAGACCAGCAGCAUCCAUCUCACCUGGGAACUUGUUAGAGCUGCAAAUUCUUGGGCCCAUCCCAGACUGACUUAAUUAGAAACUGUGGGCUGAGCACGGUGUCUCAUGCCUAUAAUCCCAGCACUUUCAGAGGUUGAGGUGGAAGGAUAACUUGAGGCCAUGAGUUUGAGACCAGCGUGGGCCACAUAGUGAGACCACAUUUCUACAACAAAUUUUUAAAAAUUAGCCAGGCAUGGUGGUACGUGCCUGUAGUCCCAGCUUCUUGGGAGGCUGAGGUGGAAAGAUUGCCUGAGCCUGGGAGGUCCAGCCUGCAGUAAGCUUUGAUCACACCACUGCCCUCCAGCCUAGGUAAAAGAAUGAGACCCAGUCUCAAAAAAGAAAAAACAAAAACAAAAACAAACCUCUGGGGAUGAGCAGCUUCAGCUUUAAUAAGUCCUGUAGGUGAUUCCGAUGCUAGCUCAAGUUUGAAAACCUCUCUGGUCUAUAGGAUAAGUCAAGCCAAGGUUCAAAUAACCAAGGUGAAGUCAGAGCCAGGAGAUUGGAGGAAGCUAAGAUAGAAUCUGAGCCAAAUCAGAGAAUGGAGGUUCUGGGAAAUUGCUCUGCACACUGGUGGCUAUUUUCAGCUACCCUUCAUCUUCUGCAGGUGCAGCUUGGGAGUGGGUUGGGCUAAUUUCCAGGGCCAGAAGCAAGAAGACAGGUAGGGAAGUAUUUGCAGGCUUUUCUGCAGGUCAUUCUGACCCCUUUGAAAUUACAGCUUGUGGUCUGUUACUCCUCUGCAUUCAAAAGGAUUCAUCUUUGUCAGUGCCUUUCUGGGAGAGUGGGCCUGGCUUGGAGAUGUCACUGUGGAUCCAGGAUUUUGCCACUGGGUGAGUCUAGUCCCCUUACCCAAUGCAGCAAUCAACUCUGCAGCAUUCUCAAUAGCAGGUCAGGGAUCCCCGUUCAACACUAGAAUUCAACGGAAUGCAUUCUAUUUGUUGGCAAGUACUUCCUUUGGAUGGCCCAAAGUGCCUAUCACCUUGCAGAUAGUAAGUGCUCGCACAUAUUCAUUGAAACAGUAAGUGGCUUGUAUUGAACAGACAUCUGAUCCUUUCAACUGUCUCCCUUCUGGUUCUAACAGCGGUGGCUGCAGCAGCACAGGACCUGUCCACCCUAGCUUUCAUUUGAAGGUCCCAUUUUGCUUCCCAUAGUCUCUUCUCUAAGAGAAAUGUAUCCUUCAUUUCUUCCAAAGUUCCUAGUAUGAAUUGCAGACCCAGAAGACUGCAAGUGAAAUGACUAACAAGCAGAGAGAUGAGAAAGGGGCCCAGAAAAUUAAAUUGUGCAUAAAAUUAAGGAGGCUAUGUUGGGGUACAGAAGAGAAUGGGCAGCGGUAGAGCUAAACAUGAGGCUGAUGAGACAGGUAAGUUAGGAUUGAAGCUCACAGAGGCAGGGCGAUCAUGGACAGCUCUUUUUCUGUGGGCCCUAUGUGUUUCACCAGGGCCCGGAGGAUUUGGGUAGGAGUUGAGCAGGACUAGUCAGGGUCAGGUUGAAAUGACCGUCACUAAAAGUCCCAGAUUCUUGGUCCAUGAGUUGCAGCCGAGUCAGGACACAACAAUCCUGUGCUUCACCAUUGGAAUUUUGGACAUAACUUUAGGGCUUUCCCUCAUCCUCAUUAAAUUAAAUCUUGUUGAUUGUAAUCAGCCAAAACCAUUUGAACCUCAUUUCUGGAGAGUGUUAUCUAUCCCUUUCAACUUUCUGUCAUGCAUCAAAUGUAUAAAGUGACUUUUUUUUCUUUUUCAUUUAAAAUUUUUUUUAGAGACAAAGUCUUACUCUGUUACCCAGGCUAGAGCACAGUCAUGCAAUCAUAGCUCACUGCAGCCUUGAACUCCCGGGCUCAAGAGAUCCUCCUGCCUUAGCCUCCCAAGUAGCUGGGCCUAUAGGCACAGGCCACCACACUUGGCUAAUUUAUUUUUUGUACAGAUGGGGUCUUGCUGUGUUGCUCAGGCCAGUCUUGAACUACAGGGCUCAAGCAAUUCUUCCACCUCAGCCUCUCAAAGUGCUGGGAUUACAGAUGUGAGCCACUGUACCCAACCUAUAAUCUGACUUUGAUCUCUACAUCUAAAUAAUUGACAAAAUGUGACCAAGCAGCUCAUUAGUGACUGCUUUUCAAACUGAAACCUGUACAAACCAUCACAAUUGACUAUGGGCUAUUCAACUCGCUGUUUGUUUAUUUAUUCAUUUGUUCAUGGGUAAAAUGCUGUGCUGUUCAGGGGAUGGUGGUAUCUUGCCCUGAUGGUGCUUGGGAGGAGGACUGUCUCUGGGAGUGCCUUCUGUGUCCACAGGCCUUUCUAAGGAAAUGGUCCUGAUGGAGGCACCAUUAGCCACAGUGUUUCGCACCGUGAGACUCAUUCUUCCUCCAGCUGCACUUGAUUGAACCUGACUCAAAAGCAGCCAACUCAUGGGCUGCCCAUGGCCUGUGGGAGUCUUGGGGUGAGGAGCUCUGCCUAGAUGGGGUGAGCUAGUCCAACCAAGUACAUAUUCCCAGGGAUUUGAAUUUAAAAAAUGGAGAGGCCCAGUGUUUUAACAGAAAGAAACUGAGGCUGACAUGUUGCCCAGAGAGGCAAUAAACUUAUUAAUAUGAGGUCAUGAAGUGCCUGAACAAACAAUGAGGAAGCUUAUUCAUUUAUUUAUUUAUUCAUUCAUUCUAGACAGGGUUUCACUCUUUCUCUCAGGCUGGACUGCAGUGACAUGAUCAGAGCUCACUGCAGCCCGACCUCCUGGGCUCAAGGGAUCCUCUCACCUCAGCCUCCUGAGCAGUUGGGACUACAGGCACACACCACCAUGCCAAGCUAAUUCUCUUUUUUUCUUUUUCUUUUUUUUUGUAAACACAGGGUCUUGUUAUGUUGCCCAAGUUGGUCUCAAACUCCUGGCUUCAAGCAAUCCUCCUGCCUCAGCCUUUAAUUUGCUGGAGGAUCAGACGUUAAUUUGUCAAUAUGGUGAACUAAUAUAAUUUGGGAAUUCUUCUGAUACAAACAACUGGAAAUCCUAAAUAUGAUAUAACAAAUAUCCCUUUAAACAUAUAACUGAACAUGUAAAAAAACUAAAAGAAAUUCCCACGUUCAAAAUUAAAGAGUAAACUGAAAAACAGACUGAUAAAUAUGUGGUCAGAGACUGUGGCAGCCCUGGUAGGAGCACGGCUUGUUUUCAGACCUGGUGAUGGCCAAGGGUUGGGUCUGAACCUUCUCAGGGACACAGCCUUGGGCCUGCUUCAGGCAGAGGGGUUGGAACCAAGGCUCUUGCUUAAAGUCAGAAUCAUUUGUCAGCCUCAUGCACAGUAAACUAAUGGACUAAAAUACAUUCAUUCACCAGCAGAAGGAGACAGCAAGGAGGCCUAUCUGCUAUGACUUGGGUCUGAAUGGGAAGAAGGACCCCCUGAGAAUUUGUAGUCACAGCCUGUACCUUGGCUGAGUUUGGUUCUAAUUUAUACUAUCUGGGUGGCCAGGAAUCCUCCAGCUAAGACUUUAAUGUUAAAAUGUCCUAAGGCUGACACUACUGACGGCCUGGAGAGAUGGGCAGCAGCAAACACAAAAUCCCACUGGAAGGACACACCCUGAUCCCUGGCUUUAAAGGAUUUCCACAGAUGGGAUUCUGCUGGAUGUGGCUCAAAAUUUAAAACUCACUGGGAAACAAUCCAUCAUUAGUGUGUAUCAGUGGCCAUGACUAGUAACUUCUGAAAAUGGAACUACUAGAUAGAAAUUCAUAAAAGUAUAUGCUCAAAAAGAUUGAAGACAUAAAUGAAAGUAAUGAAAAAUGUAAGAAAAGAGAAAAAUAUGAUGAAAAAAUGACAGGCACAUGAAAUAAAAAAUAUAGGCACCAAAAUUAAAAUAUAAUGUUGUAUAAAACAGCACAUUUAUACAAAACAGAACAUAAAUAAACUUAAAUCUAGAAUUAAA